CCGCCCGUCACAUCACGAAAGUGGGCUGUACUAGAAGUCGCCGCGCCAACCGCAAGGAGGCAAGCGCCCAAGGUAUGGCUCAUGAUUGGGGUGAAGUCGUAACAAGGUACCC
rnacentral:rRNA from 1 species